rnacentral:lncRNA from 1 species
UUGCGUCUCAUACACAUAAAUGUGUGGGAUUUGGCAGUAAGUGGAAGAAAUGACAGGAGUUUUCUUGUGGCCCAGUGGUUCAAGUCACUGCUGUGGUACAGGUUCAAUCCCUGGCCCACAAACUUCCACAUGCCACAGGCAUGGCAAAAAAAACAAAAUAACUUCAAGUAUUUUCUGUAUCUUCAAGUAUUUUUUUUUCAUCAAAAAUAAUGAUGUCUUUCCUAAUUAAUGUAGUUAUCCUUCAGUCAGCCUCACCAAGUUUUAGGGGGGCAAAAUCAUGUCACUGGACCACAGCUAUUCCAAUUAAAAAGCAAAAUUCAUCAGGAGCUCUUUCAAAAGCCACAUUUUGCUCUCUCACUGGGAUUCCUAUUGUUGAAAAGUUGUUUUGAAAGUGAUUCUUUAAUUAGAAGAAAUUCCAGCCCUCACAAAAUUGGGAGCAACAUCAUUUACAUUAUUUACAUUACAAACACCAUUUGCAUUUAUACAGAUUUGGUUACUUGUGAAUAGUUGUUUUAACACCCAUCUGGGACUUAAUUGUUAAGGCUUCCCUUGUCAGAUCACCAAAGAAAGAGAUUUAGGUGUAUUGCGCACAGACCUUGUGCUAUGAAUUACAUGGGCUUACUCACUCCUCUCCCUUCUCUGUGAGGCAUGUAAGGUAAUCACACUGAAGGUAACCAGUCUCCUGAGGGCAGAAGUCAUAGGCAAGGCCAUGUUCUCAAGAGUGCUAGAAAACAGAUUUCAAAUUAGCCUCAUUUCCUAUCAAAGUGAAAGAUGAUGCCUCAUUCCUACACUGCCCCCAGAAAUGCUUUGGAAGACAGAGUGGGGGUGGAGGGGAGAUAUGAGAUGAGAUCAAGAUCUGCUAUAGACAAAUUCCGAAGUAAACAAAGUUUCCCCCUGACUGGCAGAGCUCUGAGUAUUUAGUUCCGCCCUCCUUUUCUCCCCUCACCUAAUCAUCACCCUACAGAUUUACAAUCACUUCAGUUGGAAUUAACAGAAAUUCCAGCUCAAAAUGGUUUAGUAGAGGAAACUUUUUAGAUCAAUUCCUGGAAAAUCCAGAAAUAGAGCAGGUUUUAAAUCAUCUCUCUCUUAGGCCCACACAAGGGGAUUGGGACCUAUUUGGCCUUUCGCUUUCUUUUUCGUCAUCUAAGUUAUCUCCAUUCUUAGAGUGGCCCUUCCCCAUACAGCUCCCAAGGAUAAACACUUUCUAAUUCACAUCUAAGGAGAAAUGCGUUAGAAGCUGAGAUAAGAUAGUGACAGGGAAAUAUGACCAGAAUAACAUAGAAAGAUCCAAAAUCUGCCUUGGCUUAGUAGGCACUGUUCCUCAUCCUCCUCACCACCACCCAACUCUCACCCCCAGCUUUGUGUUUUCCUAUGGGACAUGCACGUGAUAGACAAUAGGAACUAGGAAAUAAAACUCUACUUUAUCAUUUGCUGGGUUCAUACUACCCAUAAGCAGAAUUCUCUGGUAAAUUCAACAAGAGCCCUUGGUGAAGGCUUUAGCCUUCAGGACAGUCUGUCUUUUCCAGCCACCAGGUUAAAUGUAAUGAGAAUUCCCAAUUACUUAAAUGCUUCUGGGCAAAGAGGAGAGAGAGCCUACCCAGCUGGCAGCAUGGUGAUAGAAGAGGAAGAGAAAACAAAUCUAGAGCAAAUUUCUUAUUCUAAACAUACUCCAAUGGAGGAAGCCAUGCCCAUGUGUGGGACUUCUCCCACCAGAAAAUGUGGCUCCAUCAGUGUCCAGAAAUCUGAGCAAGUCGUUUCAGUAUUACUUCCUCUUAGAAAGGAAAAUACACUAUCAGUAGGCAUAGCCUCCAAGGCUCAGAAGGGAGAUUUCUUCCUAGAAGGAACAUUCUAGCUUCUUAGGUGGGAUGAGUUGAUGUUUCUUAUGUUACAGCUAGGACAGGAAAGGCAAUUUAAGGACUAGCUGGGGACACUGCUUUGCAUCACCAUUCUGGGGAAACGUUACCUUGAGCAGCAGUCAAUUCUAUUUGAUACUUCCAAAGUAAAGUGACAAACUCCACACAGAUUUGGGGUACAGAAAUUAGUUGAAAAAUAUCUGCAAGAUAAGCCUGUUCACACGCAGGUUUUUCAGCACUUAGAGACUAUCACCUGUUGGGAACUUCUAAGCAAAUCACCUUCCUUCCCUCUGCUUUAGUUUUCUCAUUUACAGAUUGAGAGAAGAUGAGGACUGGCUAUAGCCUAGGAAUUCUCAAAUAUUGGAAAAAAAUGAUAUUCAUAUGUAAGUGUGGAUUUAGUGUUGUUUGCUAUAAAAUAACACUUAUUCGUACACUAUCUUGUUUUAUAAUAGAUGUAAGGCUAUUAUAACUGUUUAAGCUCAGUAAAUAAGACACUGUGCCUUAAACUUGUACACAGCAGUUUAUGUUCAGAAGAUCCUGGGUAAACUUUAGUUACAGUACCAGACAGGAAGAAGUCAUUCUCACUCAAUGGUAGAGUAAAGAAAUAAGAUCCCGGUCACCAACUUAGGUAGGCAAAUUAUUCCUAUACUGGUGUGAAGUAAUAUACCCAAACAACAAAGGUAGGUUCCAAAAAUUAAUGUAUGUGCAUCUAUAGAAAUAUUCUAUUAAUAUUAUGCCCAGUGUAGCUUUCAGCCUCCCAUGUAUGUGAAAAUGUUCCUUCUUGCUCAUUUUCUCUUUCCUCAGAGUGUAUUACUCUACUGCUCCUCACCAUAAGCUAAGUAUUGAAUAUGUCCUUGAUGCAAGUGUUUUUCCAUUAUUAGUAUUUUUUAAAAUAAACCAUGUGAUGUAGUGAAACAAGCAUGAGAUCAAAAGAACUAAGUUCAGGGAUCAAUUCUUCUACUUCAUAGGUGUGUGACCUAGGCAAAUCACUUCUCUAAAUAUAAAAUAAAGAGAAUUAUUACAUUUACUUUACAAAAUUAGUGCGGAAAUUAUUCUUUAUUGACACUUUAUAUUCUUCAGAGAUGAGUUAAGACAGCCGCCAUGAGUAUACAAGAAUAUAAAAUGACCCCCAAAAUGGGACUAAGGGAAAAUCAAGACUCUGGAUAUAAAAUGGAAUUGAGGGGGUUCCCAUUGUGACUCAGCAGAAAUGAAUCUGAUUAGCAUCCAUGAGGACGCAGGCCUGAUCCCUGGCCUUGCUCAGUGGAUCAAGGAUCCAGCAUUGUCAUGAGCUGUGGUUAUACACGUGGCUUGGAUCUAGGGUUGCUAUUACUGUGACUGUAGGCUGUGGCUAUACCUCUGAUUCAACCCCUAGGCUGGGGACCUCCAUAUGCUGCAGGUUGCAACUGAUAAGGGCUUAAUCUCUAAAAUAUACAAACAAUUUAUACAUC